CUCUCUCUUUGAGUUUCUUCUCUUCUUCAUCUUCUUGCAGUGCCUACAAGUGGAGCUGAGGGAGAGGGAAAGAGGAGGAACGUUGGUUGAAAGAGGGAGAGGGAUGGUGUGAUGAGGGAGAAUGGCGGACGUAGUUGGAUUUGGGAAAGAGGGAGAGAUGGCUGGUUUAGAAAGAGAAAGGGAAAGAGAGAGAGAAAAAGAGAGGAUAAUGAAAAGGAAGAAUGGCGCAACAGAGCGUGGAAAGGGAGGAGAAGAAAUGAGGAGAGGUGAGACUUCAUAGGGUUUCUUCGUGCCUUCUGGAGUUUCCUAAAUGAUGCCCUCUAACAGAACAGUGCUUCUCGUUUUCCUUUUUUCGUUCCUUUGGAGCUUGGAAACCCUAUAAUUCCGGCGACAGCCGAGGUGAUGCUGGAUACUGGUUGCGAGUAGAUCUUGGCUAAUCUUCGAUUUCUUCACCGUUAAUUCCAUCAGCAUUGGGGCGGCGACGGAACCUUGGGGCUUCGUUCUUCAUACGAUUUGGAAGCGUGGUUGGGUUUGGGGAUGAAGGCGGUCCAAUUUUCCCUGCUUCGGCAAGGUGAUGGAUUUUCUGAGAGGAUUUUAGUGUUUCUUGGGCACUCUAUAAUGAAAGGAACCACAUCAACGCCAUUAGAUGAUGAAUCUCAAAAGGAUCAGGUUAAGAAGCAAACUAUUAUGGUGGAGCAACAAAACACGGAAUGGAAUGAUGAUGAACUUAUUGUUCACACAAGUUCAGAGAUAGAAGAUUCAUUCAGUCACAUUCAAUAGCUAUGGUUCAACCAAACAGAACAACAAGGCCACUCCAAAGACUUUGCAAUGAAGGAUCUUGGUGAAGCAAAGAAGAUUCUUGGUAUGGAAAUCAAGAGAAACAUGAAGACUAGCAAGCUAUGGGUGAACCAGACAAGUUACAUGCAACAACAAGGCUGAUGCUCGACCGGUCUCAGCACCAUUGCUAAUUGACUAGAAGUUGACCAAAGAUGACAGUCCUAAGUCAAAAGAAUAGGUGGAGCAAACAGAAAAAGUACCAUACAUAAACACUGUAAGUUGUCUAAUGUACACCCAACCAGUUCUUUGUCAAGUGGUUAGUGUGUGAGCAAUUCAUGAUCAAUCCAAGGAUGAUGCACUCGUUAGCAGUCAAGAAUGCCAUUAAAUAUAUGCAAAUUCACAAGAUAUAUGCAGUUUAUUUGAUAAUUCAUCAUCACCACAAGAAAUUGGUUAUGUGGAUGCAAAAUAUAGUGGAGCUUUAGACCCUAGACAAUCAAUGAUUGGGUGUCUGUUUACCUUAUGGUGGUCCAGUUUUGUAUUUCAAGGAACCACAACUCUCUCUACUAUGGAAGUUGAAUAUAUGGGUCUAAUAGAAACCAGAGAAAAAGCAUUAUGGUAGAAGGAGUACUCAGACAACUUGGUUUGGAUAAAAAAGGUAUGCCGAGGAGCUGCGACAGCUAAAGUGUUAUUCAUUUAGCCAAAAACCAAGUAUUCCAUGCUAUAAGGUUAGUGAGUGGAUAUCAUCUGAAGAUCCAUGUUAGUUUAACCAAGGUAAAGACCGAAGAGAAUGGAGCAGAUAUAUUCAUAUCGGUGGUAACUCGAAGUACAUUCUAGAAAUGUUUGAACAUAAUCAACAUUGUCGAUUCUCAUUGAUAGUUAGUUGAUUCAUACAAGCCAAGGUGGAGUUGAGGAGCUAUGUAUGAGGUCGGUGGAAGCUAAAUAUAGUUAAUAAGGAUGAAUAGAUUAAGCAGUUAGCCAAGUAAGGAUGAUGGAUUGCCUCAACUUGAAGUCAUAACUGCAAUGGCAAAGGAUGAAGAUAAAAAUGGAUAACUGGAAGAACAGCUGACAUUUGUUUCCAUUUUCUUGUUAAAUUGGUCAAACCUCUCUCCAGCGGAGAAAUCACAGUUACUAGAUAGACUUUGCUAACUACUUUUUAAACUAAAGAUUUUUAUUAAAAACAAACUAUGUUCUUACAUUAUUUUUUUCUCGAAAUCUCUCAGUGGUCCUAACCGCAUGCUGGGUAUACAGGGAAAACUAGCAAAAUGAAAUGCAAGAUCCAGGUUUUAUAGUAUCUUGGUUGGAUUUUGCCUUUUGAAUUGUGUCUUCAGAAAGAACGGCAUAGUGUAGCAUGUAAAGCAAACGUUUCGAAUAUGGCCUAAUAUUUGCAUACAAAUCUGGUAGCUGAACAGAAGGGACAGAGAAAAGCAUUUCAAACAUUUUUUCUUUUUUUUCAUUCCGUUCAAUGGACCGCUGUUAAAGCUAGUAAUGUAGCUGAAGUGUUCAAGAGCACUCUGAAAUCAGGCAGUUAUGGUCUCAAGUUUAAAGUAUAUCAUAAGCAUGUGUUUAUGGGUAGUGGAGCAUAUGAAGGGUGUUUUCAACAUCAUUAUCUGCAGAUGUGUUCAGCCACAAAGAAAUACAAAGACAGGAUUAUAUUAUUUCGUAAAGCGCAAAUAAGUAUUUCUUCUUGAUUUCUGAUUCUUUUCCUUGUUUCUGUAAGUGGCUAUAAAGUCUGUAGUACCUAUGUAAAUAAAGUUAAACUGCAUCUUCCGUCGCCUUUUUCUGCUUCCGAUUGCUGUGUUACUUGUCUCUAACGUGUUCUA